UACGAAGGGGGCUAGCGUUGUUCGGAAUCACUGGGCGUAAAGCGCACGCAGGCGGAUCGUUAAGUCAGGGGUGAAAUCCCGAGGCUCAACCUCGGAACUGCCUUUGAUACUGGCGAUCUUUGAGUCCGGGAGAGGUGAGUGGAACUCCGAGUGUAGAGGUGAAAUUCGUAGAUAUUCGGAAGAACACCAGUGGCGAAGGCGGCUCACUGGUCCGGUACUGACGCUGAGGUGCGAAAGCGUGGGGAGCAAACAGG
rnacentral:rRNA from 1 species